GAUGAACGCUGGCGGCGUGCCUAACACAUGCAAGUCGAACGGAGUUUUAUGAAGUUUUCGGACGGAAUAAAACUUAGUGGCGGACGGGUGAGUAACGCGUGGGUAACCUGCCUCAUACAGGGGGAUAACAGUUGGAAACGGCUGCUAAAACCGCAUAAGCAUACAUUGUCGCAUGGCAGAGUGUGAAAAUAUUUAAAGGUAUGAGAUGGGCCCGCGUCUGAUUAGCUAGUUGGUAAGGUAAAGGCUUACCAAGGCGACGAUCAGUAGCCGGCUUGAGAGAGUGACCGGACACAUUGGGACUGAGACACGGCCCAAACUCCUACGGGAGGCAGCAGUGGGGAAUAUUGCACAAUGGGGGAAACCCUGAUGCAGCGACGCCGCGUGAGUGAAGAAGUAUUUCGGUAUGUAAAGCUCUAUCAGCAGGGAAGAAAAUGACGGUACCUGACUAAGAAGCCCCGGCUAACUACGUGCCAGCCGCCGCCGUAA
rnacentral:rRNA from 1 species